UACGUAGGGACCAAGCGUUGUUCGGAUUUACUGGGCGUAAAGGGCGCGUAGGCGGCAAUUCAAGUCAUCUGUGAAAUCUCCGGGCUUAACCCGGAAUGGUCAGGUGAUACUGCUUUGCUAGAGUGCAGAAGGGGCAAUCGGAAUUCUUGGUGUAGCGGUGAAAUGCGUAGAUAUCAAGAGGAACACCUGAGGUGAAGACGGGUUGCUGGGCUGACACUGACGCUGACAGCGCGAAAGCUAGGGGAGCAAACGGG
rnacentral:rRNA from 1 species